ACGGGACCCGCACAAGCGGUGGAGCAUGUGGUUUAAUUCGAAGAUACGCGAAGAACCUUACCUGGACUUGACAUUGAAAGAAUCCUGUAGAGAUACGGGAGUGCCAGUUUACUGGAGCUUGAAAACAGGUGCUGCACGGCUGUCGUCAGCUCGUGUCGUGAGAUGUUGGGUUAAGUCCCGCAACGAGCGCAACCCACGUCGUUAGUUGCUAACAGUUAGGCUGAGAACUCUAACGAGACUGCCUUCGUAAGGAGGAGGAAGGUGUGGACGACGUCAAGUCAUCAUGGCCCUUACGUCCAGGGCUACACACGUGCUACAAUGGGGUAUACAAAGAGCAGCAAUACGGUGACGUGGAGCAAAUCUCAUAAAAUGCCUCCCAGUUCGGAUUGUAGUCUGCAACUCGACUACAUGAAGUUGGAAUCGCUAGUAAUCGCGGAUCAGCAUGCCGCGGUGAAUACGUUCCCGGGCCUU
rnacentral:rRNA from 1 species